GUAGGUGGCAAGCGUUGUCCGGAAUUAUUGGGCGUAAAGCGCGCGCAGGUGGUUCUUUAAGCCUGAUGUGAAAGCCCCCGGCUCAACCGGGGAGGGUCAUUGGAAACUGGGGAACUUGAGUGCAGGAGAGGAAAGUGGAAUUCCACGUGUAGCGGUGAAAUGCGUAGAUAUGUGGAGGAACACCAGUGGCGAAGGCGACUUUCUGGCCUGUAACUGACACUGAGGCGCGAAAGCGUGGGGAGCAAACAGGGAUUAGAUACCCUGGUAGUCCACGCCGUAAACGAUGAGUGCUAAGUGUUGGGGGGGUUUCCCGCCCCUCAGUGCUGCAGCUAACGCAUUAAGCACUCCGCCUGGGGAGUACGGUCGCAAGACUG
rnacentral:rRNA from 1 species